AUUGAACGCUGGCGGCAUGCUUUACACAUGCAAGUCGAACGGUAACAGGGUGCUUGCACCGCUGACGAGUGGCGAACGGGUGAGUAAUACAUCGGAAUGUACCCAGUAAUGGGGGAUAACGCUUCGAAAGGAGUGCUAAUACCGCAUACGCCCUGAGGGGGAAAGUGGGGGACCGCAAGGCCUCACGUUAUUGGAGCAGCCGAUGGCUGAUUAGCUAGUUGGUGAGGUAAAGGCUCACCAAGGCGACGAUCAGUAGCGGGUCUUAGAGGACGAUCCGCCAAACUGGAACUGAGACACGGUCCAGACUCCUACGGGAGGCAGCAGUGGGGAAUCUUGGACAAUGGGCGAAAGCCUGAUCCAGCAAUGCCGCGUGCGUGAAGAAGGACUUCGGGUUGUAAAGCGCUUUUGUCUGGGAGCAAAUCCUGGCCUCUAAUACAGGUCGGGGAUGAGAGUACCAGAAGAAUAAGGACCGGCUAACUACGUGCCAGCCGCCGCGGUAA
rnacentral:rRNA from 1 species